AUUGAACGCUGGCGGCAGGCCUAACACAUGCAAGUCGAGCGGAGCGGCGAACGAGUAAUUACUGCCUAGGAAUCUGCCUGUUAGUGAGGUAUCCCGUCCGGGAACGGGCCCUAAUACCACAUACUAUCAGGUGAGCCUCGGGCGUCUUAGCUAGUUGGUGGGGUAAAGGCCUACCAAGUCGACGAUCCGUAACUGGUCUGAGAGGAUGAUCAGUCACACUGGAACUGAGACACGGGCCAGACUCCUACGGGAGGCAGCAGUGGGGAAUAUUGGACAAUGGGCGAAAGUCUGAUCCAGCCACGCCGCGUGUGUGAAGAAGGUAUUCGGAUUGUAAAGCACUGUAAGUUGGGAGGCGUUAUCAACAGAAAAAGCACCGGCUAACUUCGUGCCAGCAGCCGCGGUAAUUC
rnacentral:rRNA from 1 species